rnacentral:rRNA from 1 species
GGUCAAGUUAUUAAGGGUGCAGGGCGGAUGCCUUGGCACUAGGAGCCGAUGAAGGACGUGAUAAGCUGCGAUAAGCUUCGGGGAGUUGCACGUAAACUUUGAUCCGAAGAUUUCCGAAUGAGGAAACUCACUUAGAGUAAUGUCUAAGUAUCAUUAAGUGAAUACAUAGCUUAAUGAGGGGAACUCAGGGAACUGAAACAUCUAAGUACCUGAAGGAAGAGAAAGAAAUUCGAUUCCGUAAGUAGCGGCGAGCGAACGCGGAUUAGCCCAAACCAAUAAAGUUUUCUUUAUUGGGGUUGCGGACAUAUCAUAACGAAGAGGUAUCGUAAUUGAAGAGGUUUGGAAAGACCCACCACAGAAGGUAAUAGUCCUGUAUGUUAAACGAGAAGACUUUAGAUAUGAUCCAGAGUACCACGGGACACGUGAAACCCUGUGGGAAGCAGGAGGGACCACCCUCCAAGGCUAAAUACUACCUAGUGACCGAUAGCGUAUAGUACCGUGAGGGAAAGGUGAAAAGAACCCCGGGAGGGGAGUGAAAUAGAACCUGAAACCCUGCACUUACAAGCUGUGGAAGCACAUUUCUUGUGUGACCGCGUACUUUUUGUAGAACGGGCCAACGAGUUACGUUAAGUAGCAAGGUUAAGCACUUAAGGUGCGGAGCCGUAGCGAAAGCGAGUUUUAACUGAGCGUUCAGUUACUUGACGUAGACCCGAAACCGGGCGACCUACCCAUGAGCAGGAUGAAGCGAAAGUAAAAUUUCGUGGAGGUCCGAACCCACGAGCGUUGAAAAGCUCGGGGAUGACUUGUGGGUAGCGGUGAAAUUCCAAUCGAGCCCGGAGAUAGCUGGUUCUCCCCGAAAUAGCUUUAGGGCUAGCCUCAAGGUGAGAGAUACGGAGGUAGAGCACUGAAUGUCCUAGGGGGUAUUGCACCUACCGAAGACUAUCAAACUCCGAAUGCCGUCAUCUUAUACUUGGGAGUCAGACUGUGGGUGAUAAGAUUCAUAGUCGAAAGGGCAACAGCCCAGAUCGUCAGCUAAGGUCCCUAAAUGUAAGUUAAGUGGUAAAGGAUGUGGGAUUGCACAGACAACCAGGAUGUUGGCUUAGAAGCAGCCACUCAUUCAAAGAGUGCGUAAUAGCUCACUGGUCGAGUGAUCCUGCGCCGAAGAUUUCCGGGGCUAAAACUUACUACCGAAGCUACGGCAUCAGUAAUGAUGGGUAGGGGAGCUUCCCAUACGGGUUGAAGCAUGACCGUAAGGACAUGUGGACAGUAUGGGAGUGAGAAUGUUGGCAUGAGUAGCGAGAUGUGGGUGAGAAUCCCACAGGCCGUAAACCCAAGGUUUCCAGGGGAAGGUUCGUCCGCCCUGGGUUAGUCGGGACCUAAGCUGAGGCCGAAAGGCGUAGGUGAUGGACAACAGGUUGAUAUUCCUGUAC